CAACGUGCAGCCGCGAUUUCCGGCUUAUGUUUACGUGCUAACUCAAGUAAUGGCGGGAAACUAUGCACGUAUGCUGGGUAAUUUGACAUGAUGACGCGGUUCUUGUUUUGGACUAAAUACUUUACUGGACUGGAUUAACUGGACCUUUGCCGAUAUUACAAGACCCUUUUUGUCAGAGUUUCAUCGACUGGCAGAGGACUAUGAGACUUCGUAGGAAAGAGGAGAUACAGAAGUGGGGGAGAGACGUGCAGUAAAGGAUCCAGGCAGCCGGGAGUCGAACCAGGGACCUGUUCCCCAGGGCUCAUUAUGCCCAUAUGAAAAUCCUUUUGAUGAAAGACAUCUGGAGAAGAUUCAGCGAGUGUUUUAUAUGAUGACUUCAUCCUGGGUAACAACAUUCACUGACAAUUCGCCAUUCAGAGCUGGGGAGUGUUUCACAGAUGGAGCAAGAGAUGCUAUCUGCAAACCACAGGCGCCAUUUCUGGACCCAACCAAUAGAAAGGAAGAAAACAAAAUAGAAAAAAACAACAACAACUGCCAAUCUCCUCUCUGGCAAAAUGUGUGGUCUGGCAAUAAAGCAGUUGUGACGUA